rnacentral:tRNA from 1 species
GGCCCACUGGCUCAGUUGGUUAGAGCGCCGCCCUGUCACGGCGGAGGUCAUCGGUUCAAGUCCGUUGUGGGUCGCUA